CUGAACUGGUACCUAAUGAAUGGCCUAUCUCACUAUUUCUCAUUCAGGGCAAGAAGUCGGUUUUGACAACGAAAGGGUUUCACAGAGACUUGGUUUUAAAGAAUAAUCUUCAUCGGCUAUAUAAUUGUUUUCUAGUUAUCCAAUUUUUUUUAUGUCGAAAAACUUUCUAUUGAACAAACUUGUUGCUCAAUUUAGCAUCUAUUAUCAAGGUAUAACCAGUCAAUUGCAUCUGCUUAAAAAAAAAAAAAAAAAAAAAAUUGACUGUAAGACAUGAAGAUCAAGGAUGUUUUCAUGAUGAUGGUCAUUUUCUCUUCUUACGUUAUGUGGUUUGUGUUCAAAAGUAUGGAUGAUGAGGAUUCGUUUGUAUUUUCGUAUACAUUCAUUGUAAUUUAUACUAUUGUUAUAGCUUAUUUCCUUUCUAUCUAUAUUGUAGUCCUCAUGUGAGGUGUUUACACAUCCUCGCCUUUUUAUAUAUGAUAAGGAUUACAAGAAGUCAGGAAUAAGUUUUGUUUUCGGGGUGAAAGUAAGUGUUGUGUAUAAAAUCUUAUGCUGUGAAAUGUUGUUCUGUUUAUUUGUAAUGGUAGUUAUUGUCUCCGAUUAUCAAAUUUUAGUUUGAAAUUUCGAGGACGAAAUUAUUUUAACGGGGGAAGGAUUGUAAUAUCCAACAUUUUCAUAAUACAUUUAUUUAUUAUAAAUCAAAGUUUUAAUACAUAAAAUGUACAACUUUACAAAUUUAAGAAAUAGUAAUGGAAAAAUAGUGUUUAAAAUAUGAUUUUAUGUUUUUAAUGAGAUUAAAGAAAGAGAAACUUGAGUAGUCAAGUAUUGGACCCAAAUGUCAAAUAAUUUUAAUUGGGGAUUUUUAUAAAAUUAAGAAAGUUUGGCUAAAGGGCUUAUUUGAAAAGAAUUUUAGUAUUUUGGGUCCAAGUGUAAUUUUUAAAAAUAAAUAAAUAAAAAAAUAAAAUAAAAUAAAAGGCUUCAGCCUUUCAUUUUACCCGAGCCCCUCUCUCUCUCUCCUCAGAAACCCUCUCUCUCUCUCUCCUCAGAAACUCUCUCUCUCUCUCUCUCUAUCUCUCUCUCUCUCUCUCCUCUGCGUAUUACUGUUGCCGACGACGCAGGAGUACUUUCCGGCCACCAUUUUUAGCCACGCGCCGGACCGUUGGAUUCAGAGGCCUCCGAACUAUCGACCAACGCGGGAAUCUAGAGCUCACUCGCCGAUUAAACGCCUCAACCACUCGAUUUAAGUUCGGCCACCCCGCGACUUCAAAGUUGCGAUUCGGCCACCUCGGGCAUCCGUUUGCCGAUCCGUCACCACCAUCGUGCUCCUCGUGUUGUGGGCUUCAAAACCCAAUAACUUGUUCCUACAUCUACCAUAGUUGGGUGGUGGGCCCACCACGAGCCACCGCGAUCCACCGUAGAUCGACGGUCGAAACUUAGUGUUCGAGGUUCCGAAGUACGUUUUGAGUCUCAGAAAAUCAUCGUUUGACUUAUUGUGGAACCCGAUCAUUUUGGAUUUGUAUGGAUUUGAUUGAUUGACUCUUGGUGAGGAAUUUUAAAAUAAGCUAAGGACCUAAGGUGUGGCUUUAGCUGUUGAGCAACUUGUGGAGCACGGACUCAGUAGCAAUGCAAUAAUGGUUUUAGAGUUUUCAUAUGGCUGCCUUAAAUUUAAAGUAUUCAUACGUGUAAUAAUUUCUUCUAAUAAGUUUAUAUAAAAGUUUUAAAUUUUUCUGUA